CCGUCAGGACGAACGCUGGCGGCGUGCUUAACACAUGCAAGUCGAACGAUGAAGCCUUUCGGGGUGGAUUAGUGGCGAACGGGUGAGUAACACGUGGGCAAUCUGCCCUUCACUCUGGGACAAGCCCUGGAAACGGGGUCUAAUACCGGAUAACACUCUGUCCCGCAUGGGACGGGGUUAAAAGCUCCGGCGGUGAAGGAUGAGCCCGCGGCCUAUCAGCUUGUUGGUGGGGUAAUGGCCUACCAAGGCGACGACGGGUAGCCGGCCUGAGAGGGCGACCGGCCACACUGGGACUGAGACACGGCCCAGACUCCUACGGGAGGCAGCAGUGGGGAAUAUUGCACAAUGGGCGAAAGCCUGAUGCAGCGACGCCGCGUGAGGGAUGACGGCCUUCGGGUUGUAAACCUCUUUCAGCAGGGAAGAAGCGAAAGUGACGGUACCUGCAGAAGAAGCGCCGGCUAACUACGUGCCAGCAGCCGCGGUAAUACGUAGGGCGCAAGCGUUGUCCGGAAUUAUUGGGCGUAAAGAGCUCGUAGGCGGCUUGUCACGUCGGAUGUGAAAGCCCGGGGCUUAACCCCGGGUCUGCAUUCGAUACGGGCUAGCUAGAGUGUGGUAGGGGAGAUUCGGAAAUUCCUGGUGUAGCGGUGAAAAUGCGCAGAAUAUUCAGGAAGGAAACACCGGUGGCGAAGGCGGAUUCUCUGGCCCAUUACUACGCUGAAGMAAGCG
rnacentral:rRNA from 1 species